CCUACGGGAGGCAGCAGUGGGGAAUAUUGGACAAUGGGGGGAACCCUGAUCCAGCGACGCCGCGUGAGUGAAGAAGUAUUUCGGUAUGUAAAGCUCUAUCAGCAGGGAAGAAAAUGACGGUAACUGACUAAGAAGCCCCGGCUAACUACGUGCCAGCAGCCGCGGUAAUACGUAGGGGGCGAGCGUUAUCCGGAUUUAUUGGGUGUAAAGGGGGCGUAUGCGGUCCGUUAAGUCAGCGGUAAAAUUGCGGGGCUCAACCCCGUCGAGCCGUUGAAACUGGCAGACUUGAGUUGGCGAGAAGUACGCGGAAUGCGCGGUGUAGCGGUGAAAUGCAUAGAUAGCGCGCAGAACUCCGAUUGCGAAGGCAGCGUACCGGCGCCAGACUGACGCUGAGGCACGAAAGCGUGGGGAUCGAACAGGAUUAGAUACCCUGGUAGUC
rnacentral:rRNA from 1 species